UACGGGUGUCAGUGGCAGACGGGUGAGUAACACGUGGGAACGUGCCCUUUGGUUCGGAACAACUCCGGGAAACUGGAGCUAAUACCGGAUAAGCCCUUCGGGGGAAAGAUUUAUCGCCAAAGGAUCGGCCCGCGUCUGAUUAGCUAGUUGGUGAGGUAAUGGCUCACCAAGGCGACGAUCAGUAGCUGGUCUGAGAGGAUGAUCAGCCACACUGGGACUGAGACACGGCCCAGACUCCUACGGGAGGCAGCAGUGGGGAAUAUUGGACAAUGGGCGAAAGCCUGAUCCAGCCAUGCCGCGUGAGUGAUGAAGGCCUUAGGG
rnacentral:rRNA from 1 species